rnacentral:rRNA from 1 species
GGCUGUGAAAACUCGGGGCUCAACCCCGAGCCUGCAGUCGAUACGGGCAGACUAGAGUAUUGCAGGGGAGACUGGAAUUCCUGGUGUAGCGGUGAAAUGCGCAGAUAUCAGGAGGAACACCGGUGGCGAAGGCGGGUCUCUGGGCAAUAACUGACGCUGAGGAGCGAAAGCGUGGGAGCGAACAGGAUUAGAUACCCUGGUAGUCCACGCCGUAAACGUUGGGCGCUAGGUGUGGGGUCCCUUCCACGGGCUCCGUGCCGCAGCUAACGCAUUAAGCGCCCCGCCUGGGGAGUACGGCCGCAAGGCUAAAACUCAAAGGAAUUGACGGGGGCCCGCACAAGCGGCGGAGCAUGUGGCUUAAUUCGAUGCAACGCGAAGAACCUUACCAAGGCUUGACAUGCGCAGAAAUCCGGCAGAGAUGCCGGGUCCGUAAGGGCUGCGUACAGGUGGUGCAUGGUUGUCGUCAGCUCGUGUCGUGAGAUGUUGGGUUAAGUCCCGCAACGAGCGCAACCCUCGUUCUAUGUUGCCGCGCGUUAUGGCGGGGACUCAUAGGAGACUGCCGGGGUCAACUCGGAGGAAGGUGGGGAUGACGUCAAAUCAUCAUGCCCCUUAUGUCUUGGGCUGCACACAUGCUACAAUGGCCAGUACAAAGGGCUGCGAUACCGCGAGGUGGAGCGAAUCCCAAAAA